GUCUGCCUGUUUUUGAACUGCUUGACCGGUCAGACCGGCCUUCUAUACCGGUCAGACCGGUCUGUGCCUGAGCUGCUUCGUUUUGAGUUGGUUCUCACGCUUUUGCUUCCACAUUGCAAUCCGAGUUUUCGGAGUUGAGAUAGCUUGUUCAUAGCUGUUCUCACUGAUCUCGAUUUGAGGGUUUGCGGUGACUUUGGGACAUCGGCCGACGGUUUUGAAAUUUCGAAGAAAUUUUGAUCGGCUCCCAUUCACCCCCCUCUGGUUGCCGGCUUCGAUCCUUCACCUUCACUUAUUCUCUCCUUCACAGCUCCAAGAACCUCUGGUCAUGGCGACCAAGCUUCUGAAGAUAUUUUAUCCUCCUAGCAGAGUCCCUUGAACCAGUUCUUUUUGCCUUCCUCCCCGCAAAUACAGGUUUCUGCAACAAAUAUUAUUUGAAAUAUACAUCCACAAAGUGCCGCCGGCCGUCAAAGCACCGGUUCUGCUUCCUUUCUGCCCGACUGCCAGCUUGCUAAUUGAUGUUUCUGCGAGCUGUUCAAAGAACCACUCCUGCAACAGCUUUACCGGAUCUCUUGGUGCAUAACAGAUCCGCACCUGUUGACAAAUUAAGAUGGUAGACCACGCUCGUGAGGAAUGGAUUGUCAACAUAAGAAAUCGACUAGAUGAACAGUUCACCGAUCUAACUAAACUAAAGCCCGCAUUAGCGGCUCUAGACACCAGCAAGGACAAGCCAUCGAUAUACUGGACUGGUAGCCAUCCCGAAAGGUUUCGUAUCGGUAUCCUCCUCCUCAAGAGCUCGGGCAAUGUGGCUGAAAAGGACCACAUGUGGGAAUAUGUUGCGUUUAUGACCAGAUGGCUCGGUCUCGACGUGACUUUAUUCCUUAGAUACAUGAAGGAUAGGGAAGAUUUAGUCAAGAGCUACUAGUUUUGGAGC